UCAGAAUCUCAUUAUCCACGCGACUUACAUUUCCUGCCGCCGCUUUUACUGACAUGAUGUGCAUUUUAUAUUAAUACAUGCCUAAGCAAUAGGAGGAAGAAUAUGGAUGAAAAAUAAAUUCAGUCCGAUUCAAAUAAAAUAAUAUCUAUUUGAGUGAAUUUUAGGAAUUUUUAAAGUGAUACAAUGGCGGUGGGCAAGUCCUGGAUUUUCUUCUUUUUGUCAGUAUCGCUGGCUUGGAAACGAACACACGCGCUGAUGAAUUUGACGAUCAUCCAACCAGCGUUUGUCGGCCGCGAUGUGAAAUUACAACUGUUCAUAGAAAACGGGCUUAAUCUGUCCUUCUCAAAAGAAAACAUGGAAAUGAGGGUGAAGUUGCAUAACGAGUCACACUUUAAAGUGAUCGAAUCCUAUCGGAUUCAGGAUGUGACAAUUGCAGCCGUCACAAUGAUAUUGAUAAAUGUGAACAAGAGUUGGAACAUGGCGCAUGUCCAAGUAAACUGCUCAGGGAUGGUGUCCAAUACAGGGCAACUGAUCUUGCAGAGUCAACCGGAACUUAGCCCUUUCUGUUUACCGGAUGUCUGCGCUAGUUGCCUGUGUGUAUACCCAGGAGAUUCACCACGAUGUGAAACAUCGGGAACCAACGUUUCUCUAUUGCUUGAUGGUCACCUGAUUGCCAUUAAAAGCGAUGGGCAUAUCUACACCGCACGUGAUAUUGCUAUCACGGAUGGGGAUCACCAAAGGGAAAUUGAUUGCACGGCUUCGUUUGCAGAUAGCCUCGUUACAUUCUCUGCAAAAGCUACGGUCUUUGUUAUCUUACCACCUGCUUUCUCCACGCUGCACAUCUCCGAGCUGAGAGAAGGGGCGCCGUCAAAUGUAACGUGCGUCGCAUCGCAUGGCAGACCGCCACCGAAACUGCGCAUGUACUUGGACGAGGAUAUGGUGAAUGGUUCCAAUCAGGUCGACAGAUACGACAUUCAGUCACAGACCUACAGCAGUAUUAUCAGUCUCACUUCCGUGGACAGAGCUUGGAAUAAGAAGGUUUUAAAGUGCACGUGUUUGGUACUGGGAAAAGGCUUGGAAUACGUACCACAUUCCUCAGCGACAGGCAUUGUAGAUUACCAAUAUCCACCAUCUAUGGUUCAGCUAUUCAUUACGAAAACACCAGCAAAGAGUCCAUUCUUGUACAGUGCACGUGUAGAAUGUCUUGCCCAUGACUUUAACGCUGUGUGUUCAAUUGAUUGGACUUCUGACAUCAGCAAUCUUAAGCUCGGCGCUCAAAGUCACGUGUCGAAUACAAGUGCUGCGUCCAAGGUGCAGCUUGACGUAUCUGCAGAGAUGGAAGGACGACAGAUAGGUUGCCGUGUACACUGUGGAGAAUUCGACGCUGAUAUCACCAAUUAUCUAAUCUUGGGUGAUACCUCUGACACAAAUAGUAGUUCUGGCAACUUCUUCCUUAUGUCGUUGGUGCUGACCAUUGCUGCAGAACUAGUGACGCUGAUGUUUUGCGGUUUACUGAUUUACUGUAUUGUGUCCAAAUGCAAUCAAUGUCGACGGGAGUCAAAGAAAAUUACUCAAUACACGUUACCUGGAGAUGUAGAGUCGGAGCAGGAACAAUACCGGGAUAACAUGCACAGCCAGGAAAAUACUAACCAAGAUUAUCGUGCAAUCGAAGAGAACCAACAAGGGGCAACUGGAGCCAGUCAGGUACAACCAGCCGGGAGGAAAGAUACGAAUAUGCCAGAAAACUUUGUGAAUUCGACACAAAUGGAAGCGACUGAAAUACAGGAUACAGCACUACCAGAACCCGCAGAUGACAUUUAUAUGAACGACCCAUAUUAUAUUGAUGUCGAAGAAUCAUUGGAAGAAUACGUGAACGAUAUACAGAUCUCUUACCAAGCCAAAUAAAUUAAGCGUCCAUUUGUCAUGAAAUUCUUCUUACUGCCAAUUUACAUCUACCUCUGACACAAGUAUGGCAGUUGUCGGUUACUUGCAUAAGUAUGUGCACUCAGUUUUGUUGAGCCAGCUACCACAGGAAAGUGUGAGUUGGUAACCUGACCACCGUGAUAUGAUUGGAAUACCUAAUGAUAAUUACUACUACUACUACUACUACUUACUUAACAGCACAGGCACACAUCGGAAAAGAAUAAAUCUCGACCGCCCUACGUCAGAGCUGUACGUUAACAUAACCUAUAAAGUUGGGAUUCAACAGCCAUCUGAGGACGAUAUCUACGCCAAUGGCCCGGAUCAGCAAUGAAUUUACGUGCCCUUGGGGACGUGAAUUACCAUCCUUAAAAAUUGUUUGCACACAAAGUCAAUGUCAUACUAACCUGUGUUAUUUACCGCAAAUAAUUAUGGGUAUUUAACAAACUAUUUUCAAUAUCCAAUAUGAAUGACUCUUACUUUCGAUAUGGAACAAUACACAAUGAAAAUGUUUUAAACUUGUUUUAUUGACUCAAACAAUAUGUCAGUUGUUAGAGUGAGUUACUAGUUUGUCGGGGAUCGUAAGUUCAAACCCCAUACCGGCCGUAAGUGAGUUACCAGCAAUUGCAUAAAUAGUUUAAUUUAUUAACUGGUGUAUUUCUAUCGCAAACAAGCGGAUACGAAGUACGAAGUGAUGUUAAGGUUUGUAUACAAUGAUCUUUAAUCGUUUAAAGGGAUCUUUUCACGCUUUGGUAAAUUGACAAAAUUGAAAAAAGUUGUUUCAGAUUCGCACAUUUUCGUUUUAGUUAUGAUAUUUGUGAGGAAACAGUAAUACUGAACAUUUACCAUGGUCUAAUAUAGCCAUUAUAUGCAUCUUUUGACGAUUUUAAAACCUAAAAAUUAUAAAGCGUUGCAACGCGAAACGAUUGAAUAAUUUGGAGAGUUCUGUUUUUGUCGUUAAAUUUUGUGAAACUACGAAGAUUGCUUAUAUAAGGUAUAAAAUACGUCAAGUAUGUGUUCUCGGCGGAAUAGCUCAGUAGGCUAAAGCGUUUUUACUUCAGGACUCUGGCAGGACUCCAGGGGUCACUGGUUCGAAACCUGCUCCGGGCAAUGUUCUAUUCCUUUUUUUAAUUUUAUUCUUGAUUUUUUACUGGAGCUUUUACGAUCCAAUGUUUACAUUUAUCAAUAUAAAGCAUUUAAUGAAUAAGUUAAAAAAGCCAAAAUCUGUGAAAAGGCCCCUUUAAGGCGCUUCAUUGCGUAAUGCGCUGUAACAUUGGAGCGACUUUGUGCUCCGAGUUUUGUGCGAGUUCUGCGGUCUUAAAGCGGAAGAGAUCGUCGAUUGAAUUGCUUGGAAGAGACAUUGGAUCAAGUUAAUUUUAACUUUUUUUUCGAUAUGCAAAAUCGUUUCGACAAGUAAUACCUACUUCCAGAGUUUACGUGUUUAUGCAAAUCUAAACAACCAAACAAGCAGCAAACUCUUGCCAUGUAUUUUAAUUGAGUAAAUGUUUUAUAAUGUUAUGUUAUUAUUCUCAUUCUUGCUUCAUAAUAUAAUGUGUAUUUUUUAGUAUGAAGAUGUACUAUAGUAUAAGUAUAAAUACACUGUGUCUGUCUGUCUGUGUGUCCGUCUGGUAGAAAGAUUGCAAUCUGACAGAAAUAAAGCUAUGUAUAUACCUUAAGAAUUAAUCCACACAAACCUGUUGGUUAUUAUUACGAUUAAUAUCGUACGUGUGAACACACUUGAAUUCUCGCACUGCAAAUACUUCUAUUGUAACUUCUUUUUAUUGAAUAAAUGAAAUAUGUCGUACACACUCGUC